ensembl:snRNA U6 U6 spliceosomal RNA
GUGCUCCCUUCAGCAGCACAUACACUAAAAGUUGGAACGGUACAGAGAAGAUUAGGAUGGCCCCCGAGCCAGGGUGACGUGAAAAGUCAUGCAGUGUUCCGUAUUUUU